CAAGUGAACUUUCUAGAACUCAUAGGGAGAGAGGUUUUAAGGUGGGAGCUCAUAGCCAAAAGAAACACAACUAGCACUCAAUUCAACAUCUAAUCCAACAUGAGCACACUCUCUUAUUACACUUUAGCUUCUCUAGGCCUAUCUCAACUUCUUUUGCCCUUAUACUCAUAAUCAAGCAUCCACACAUUCAAAUCAACCAACUCUCACAUUCAUU
rnacentral:lncRNA from 1 species